rnacentral:rRNA from 1 species
GUGGGGAAUAUUGGACAAUGGGCGCAAGCCUGAUCCAGCCAUACCGCGUGGGUGAAGAAGGCCUUCGGGUUGUAAAGCCCUUUUGUUGGGAAAGAAAUCUUGCCGGUUAAUACCUGGCGAGGAUGACGGUACCCAAAGAAUAAGCACCGGCUAACUUCGUGCCAGCAGCCGCGGUAAUACGAAGGGUGCAAGCGUUACUCGGAAUUACUGGGCGUAAAGCGUGCGUAGGUGGUGGUUUAAGUCUGCUGUGAAAGCCCUGGGCUCAACCUGGGAAUUGCAGUGGAUACUGGGUCACUAGAGUGUGGUAGAGGGAUGCGGAAUUUCCGGUGUAGCAGUGAAAUGCGUAGAGAUCGGAAGGAACAUCCGUGGCGAAGGCGGCAUCCUGGGCCAACACUGACACUGAGGCACGAAAGCGUGGGGAGCAAACAGGAUUAGAUACCCUGGUAGUCCACGCCCUAAACGAUGCGAACUGGAUGUUGGGUGCAACUUGGCACCCAGUAUCGAAG